CUAUCAUUAACUGAAUCCAUAGGUUAAUGAGGCGAACCGGGGGAACUGAAACAUCUAAGUACCCCGAGGAAAAGAAAUCAACCGAGAUUCCCCCAGUAGCGGCGAGCGAACGGGGAGCAGCCCAGAGUCUGAAUCAGUGUGUGUGUUAGUGGAAGCGUCUGGAAAGGCGCGCGAUACAGGGUGACAGCCCCGUACACAAAAAUGCACAUAUUGUGAGCUCGAUGAGUAGGGCGGGACACGUGGUAUCCUGUCUGAAUAUGGGGGGACCAUCCUCCAAGGCUAAAUACUCCUGACUGACCGAUAGUGAACCAGUACCGUGAGGGAAAGGCGAAAAGAAC
rnacentral:rRNA from 1 species